GUUUGCAGGGCAGUAGAGGAGCUGCUGCGCUGCGGCGCGGACCCUAAUUUGGUGCUAGAGGACGGCUCAGCGGCUGUGCACUUGGCGGCCGGAGCCCGGCACCCGCGCGGCCUGCGUUGCCUCGGGGCCCUACUGCGCCAAGGCGGGGACCCCAACGCUCGAUCUGUCGAGGCACUGACGCCGCUGCAUGUGGCCGCCGCCUGGGGCUGCCGCCGCGGCCUGGAGCUGCUGCUGAGCCAAGGAGCGGACCCGGCGCUGCGCGACCAGGUUGGGAGGCACUGCGCGGGCAAAGAAAGGCUGGGUGAGCCCAGAGGGAGGGAAGGAAGGUAAAGGGCCUCGGGCGCCCCCUGCUGACCGCGCCCCUGUAGGACGGACUCCGGCCGCUGGACCUGGCCCUGCAGCAGGGACACCUGGAGUGCGCGCGAGUCCUGCAGGAUCUUGACACGCGGACCGGGACCCAGACCCGGGUCGGGGCAGAGACUCAGGAGCCCGAGCCUGCACCUGGCAGUGAGUAGGGCCUGCAGGGCUGCUGGGGCUUGACUUCUGGACCAGU
rnacentral:sRNA from 1 species